AACGCACCUUGCGCCCUUUGGUAUUCCGAAGGGCAUGCCUGUUUGAGUGUCAUUAAAUUCUCAACCUUGAACCAGUUUUUGUGACUGGGUCAAGGCUUGGAUGUGAGGGCUUUGCUGGCUUCCUUCAGUGGAUGGUCUGCUCCCUUUAAAUGCAUUAGUGGGAUCCUUUGUGGACGGUCACUUGGUGUGAUAAUUAUCUACGCCGCGUUGACUGUGAAGCAAAACUUAUGGGACCCUGCUUAUAACCGUCCUUCGGGACAAUUUUAUUGACCAUUUGACCUCAAAUCAGGUAGGACUACCCGCUGAACUUAA
rnacentral:misc_RNA from 1 species